CCUACGGGUGGCAGCAGUGAGGAAUAUUGGUCAAUGGGCGCAAGCCUGAACCAGCCAAGUAGCGUGCAGGAUGACGGCCCUACGGGUUGUAAACUGCUUUUAUACGGGAAUAACGCGCGUUACGUGUAUCUUUUUGUAUGUACCGUAUGAAUAAGGAUCGGCUAACUCCGUGCCAGCAGCCGCGGUAAUACGGAGGGUCCGAGCGUUAUCCGGAUUUAUUGGGUUUAAAGGGAGCGUAGGCGGGCUGUUAAGGUAGCUGUGAAAUUUCGGGGCUCAACCCGUGAAUUGCAGCUGAUACUGGCAGGCUUGAGUACAGUGGAGGUAGGCGGAAUGCGUGGUGUAGCGGUGAAAUGCUUAGAUAUCACGAAGAACUCCGAUUGCGAAGGCAGCUUGCUAAA
rnacentral:rRNA from 1 species